UUUUUAGCUUUGAAAGAAAACAUCAUGCACUGCUCAAAUAUGCUUAAAGCCUUGACCUAGCAAAAAUUUGGAAAUGUUCACCCUCAGGGCUGAAGGUAUAAUGUGAUGGCCAGUGCCUUCUGCCCUGAAAGCACUCUGAAUAGCCUGGAAAGAAUGAGGGAGCCUGGGGAGUGGAAUAUCAUGCAUGAUAAGUCCAGCAGCUGGUCAGAGUUGUACUGGGCAGAAACAGGGCUGCUCAGGGAGAUCUGUCUCAUGCCAUCCAUUCU